GAGUGUCCAUGCUUUGGGCUUACAGACACAUUCCUCAGGAAGAUUUAUAGCAAGUCAUCUCCAGCUCUAGGUCUGAGGGACAAAUAUUCUGUUGGUUGAGUUCUUCACCCUCCUUCUCUCUAACUGCAAGGAUAUGACCCGCUACUCUCCGCAGAGUGGCAGUACUUGGCGCUAAAACGCUGGCUAAGAUACAGCCAGAUCAGCUGGAGCCACUGGCCUGCAAAAACCUCUCCGUCAUCAAAUGGACCCUUCAGAUACUAGCCAGACAGCUAAGAAACUUGAACUCAGCUCAUAAGAGGCAAGGGGAAACAGUGACUGUUUGGAGGUUGUUUUGUGUUGACUUGUGUAUUUCAGAUUGCUCAAAAUGAGCUUGUGCAAGAAGGCAUAAAACAGUGUAGUGAUCAACUGAGUUGUGAGCCUCAGCAAAGAAACAAGCCAUUAAUCCAGCUGAGCCAAAAAGACCUGUGGUCAUUAAAGAGCCCACAGCCCCUUUUAGAAGAGUUGGGGUGUGACUGAGUGCACCCCUGUAUUCACACCCUAAACACUAUUGUCAUAAUCUCUGAUUAUUAGCCUUAGCUCUCUAAUCUAAUUUCCAAUGGCAGGCUGCUGAUGUUAUCAGGCAGGCAGGAGGUCAUGGGCAACUGGAUUGGUGCUGCUGUGGCCUCAUUUAACUGUUAUCCACCUAGGGAAUCAUUUAAACAGAGAAACACUUAGUCUGGAAGAAACUCUAUGCCCACCCCCACUCUCCCAGCUGUCUGUCUUCAGUCAGAACAGGGAAUGGCAGUCCCUCCAUUGGGCCAGGGAGACCCUCCCUUUUUAAAAAAACUUGGCUGGGCAGUGGGGACGCUUGAGAAGAAGAGGCUUAUUUUGCAGGGCUUCUAGUCCUGCUCUCAGCAUCACCUGCCCUAAGUGUUCUCCAGGAGAAUGUCAAAUCUAAUCUAAAUUCUUCAGCACAUGCCAAGCUUUGGGAGUGUUUACAGGCAGCCUGUGCAGUCUAGGAUGCGUGAGUUCAUUGCUGUGAUACAGGCUAAUGACAAGUAUUUUGUGUGUGUAUUGAAGGAGGGUUAUGAGACAUCUGAAGGGUGAAAAGCUCUCAGAGGUUAGAUUAUGAAUCCGUUGUUCGUGCUGAUGAGCAAUUACCUGCUCCAGUUCGCCAUUAACUCCAACGCACCUCCUCACGUAAGUAGCUGCUCAUCUGGGAGUUCACACUCUGGCCCUAAGGAAGGACAAUUGUUCAGGAUGGUUAUAACUAGGAGUAAGGGGAUUAAGGUGAGCAAACCAGAAAUGAAUAUUAAUAUCUACUCAAGUGAUGUACUUAAUGCACUGCUGCAUUUUCGUGAUCCCCUUAAAACUGACUUGGACAAAGCACUGUGGAAUUCAUUGAAGGGAUCAAUCCUGCACUGUUUGGAGGAAUAGACUUAAGACAUAGGGCCCUGUCUUAUACGCCAUAUGAAGGCAAAAUGACAAUGGGAGUACCAGCCUGCGAUCUGUGACGGGUGCCUUCCCUCUCCGAUGUCUGGCCUAUACUUGUGUCUUCAUUAUGAUAACUUCUUUGGGUCACCACUAAGGUUGUGGAGCAUCUAGGUUGUUCUUCUAAGCACAACCUGUCACCUCUGAUUAUGGAUCUCUGAGUCUCUAAUACUCCUGGAUGAGUGCAGCAGCACUGCUGCAGAGCUUCCAGGAUCACCUGGCAACACCGAAUUCACCAUCCAUACGAUGUUUUGUAUCCGUGAUCAUGGGGUAAAUACUUAUACUUUGGGGUUUUAAGUAACUGUGCAACUUUGCCUGCUGUUUGACAGAGAGAAACAGAACAGAUUCCAAACUGGCUAAUAGGCAACUGAUUAGAAUUAAUCUGUGACCCUUCAUCCAUGGUUCUCAAAGCACAUCAUAAACACUAACUAGAUGAGUUUGACAGCACACCUGGGAGGCAACUAUUAUUCCUAUUUUACAAAUGGGUAAACUGGGCAUGCUAACCAGCACUGUCCCAUCAUUUCUGUGUGCUCCCCCAUCUGCCUGUUGUAUACAACUAGUAUCUCUUGUCUUAUACUUUGAUCAUAAACACUUUGGGACAGAAAUCAUCUUUGUUCUGUGUUGUCCAGUGCCUAGGACAAUGGAGUCCUGGCCCAUGACUGGGGCUUCUAGGUGCUACGAUAAUGGAAAUAAUUAAUAGUUAUGUGAUUUGCCCAAUGUCACUCAGCAGGUCAGUGACAAAGCUGGGAUGAAACUCAGGAGCACUGACUCCCAGCCCCCUGUUCUAGUCAGUAGGGCUCAGAUCCUCAAAGUGUUUAGGCACCUAGCUUCCAUUGGUGUCUAUGGCAUCCACAUAAAGUGGC